rnacentral:lncRNA from 1 species
CUGCUGGAUAACGGAAAAGUAUGAAGCAAUGAGUGAUACAGAUACACCUAUGAGCUUUUCUUCUCUUCAGAUAGUUUUAUGUUCAUAAUUUAGGAAUUUUGAGAAGACUACUAAAUUGAUGAGAUCGGUCGGCAACUUCGUCUCUCAAAUGAGCUCUUCAAUCAUGUGCAGAUCGUUUAUUAGUAAAACGUCACCUGCAAUUUAUUUAGUAUUAAAAUAGGUCAAUAAGUCUGGAAUAGUGCAAGCAGGUAAAGAAGUUCCAACAAAUUAGUACCACACAUUUUAAGUGCAAGCAGGUGACGCAGUUGCCUUGGUCAUCUCUGAUUUACUGAAGUCCGUGAGUCAUAUUUAAUGUAUCUGGUUUAUACUAUUAUAAAUAAGAGUAUUGCUAGCUUAUUUAUGUGUGGAGAUUUUUAAUAAAAUAUUUUCCGUCACUAUCUAAGAUAUUUUUAUUUUCUUUGGUGGUUGCAGCACAAUGAACGAGCUUGUUGACAAAUUGAACACUGCAUAUGAC